rnacentral:rRNA from 1 species
GUGGGGAAUAUUGCACAAUGGGCGAAAGCCUGAUGCAGCAACGCCGCGUGAAGGAAGAAGGGUUUCGGCUCGUAAACUUCUAUCGAUGGGGAAGAAACAAAUGACGGUACCCAAAUAAGAAGCCCCGGCUAACUACGUGCCAGCAGCCGCGGUAAUACGUAGGGGGCAAGCGUUAUCCGGAAUUACUGGGUGUAAAGGGAGCGUAGGCGGCAUGGUAAGCCAGAUGUGAAAGCCCGAAGCUUAACUUCGAGGAUUGCAUUUGGAACUAUCAAGCUAGAGUACAGGAGAGGUAAGUGGAAUUCCUAGUGUAGCGGUGAAAUGCGUAGAUAUUAGGAAGAACACCAGUGGCGAAGGCGACUUACUGGACUGAAACUGACGCUGAGGCUCGAAAGCGUGGGGAGCGAACAGGAUUAGAAACCCCUGUAGUCC